rnacentral:lncRNA from 1 species
CCCAGCACUUUUCCACAAGAAGUGCUUUUGCCACCUUUCAACUCAACCACUCCAGACUCCUUAGGUUGGCCACAUAACACUGUCUUGUUGGACUUUGUAGCUCGACUGCGGAUGCUGCUACUCCGUUUACGUCAGUAAGAAUCUCUUUUAUAGGCUCAUGUUAAAUGCAUCAUAAUCUUAAAACACAAACACACACAUAUGCUCUAUAAAUAGGAUUAGAAAAUUCCCAUGACCUGACAACAGCACUUUCUCAUCGAAAGAUUACUAGUUAACCUUCAAUGGGCAGGCAAAGCUGUGAUCCCGCCAUCAUUCAUUCCUCAGUUGCUCUAUUGCAGGAGAGAUUCAGACAGUUAGAGAGAGCAAAGGAAAUGAGGCAGCAGAGGGAACUCUUAAAGUUGUUCUCCGAAGCAGACCAUGUCCAGACAGCCAUGGCGUAUG